rnacentral:rRNA from 1 species
GAUGAACGCUGGCGGCGUGCCUAAUACAUGCAAGUCGAGCGAACAGAAGAGGAGCUUACUCCUAUGAAGAUAAAGACAGACAGGUAAGUACCACGUAGAACACCCACCUAUAAGACUGGGAUAACUUCGGGAAACCGGAGCUAAUACCGGAUAAUAUAUUGAACCGCAUGGUUCAAUAGUGAAAGACGGUUUUGCUGUCACUUAUAGAUGGAUCCGCGCCGCAUUAGCUAGUUGGUAAGGUAACGGCUUACCAAGGCAACGAUGCGUAGCCGACCUGAGAGUUGUUGGUGCCACACUGGAACUGAGACACGGUCCAGACUCCUACGGGAGGCAGCAGUAGGGAAUCUUCCGCAAUGGUCGAAAGCCUGACGGAGCAACGCCGCGUGAGUGAUGAAGGUCUUCGGAUCGUAAAACUCUGUUAUUAGGGAAUAACAAAUGUGUAAGUAACUAUGCACGUCUUGACGGUACCUAAUCAGAAAGCCACGGCUAACUACGUG